rnacentral:lncRNA from 1 species
GCAUUUGAAACAUUACAGCCUUGAGUUCAAAAUUUCCAGCUUGGAAUGCUAGCCUAACAACUCCCAGUUGUAAGUCUUCUAAAAUAGGUACUACAAAAUCUCGUAUAGUCUUGUUUUGUAUUUGAGCAUCUUGCGACAACGGUGGGUUAUUAGCAUUUUGUUGUUGCAUCGGGGGUGUAACUUCAUAGUUUCUUGGUAAAGCCAUAUUCAUUUGUUCUUGAAGUCUCCUCCGGAUGGUUCUUUCACAUUUCUGGAUCAAAACUGGCAAUAAACUUCAAAUUGCUUCUGGUCAUACAACACAUAAAAUAAAAUGUGAAAAUAGUGACAAAAAGAAAAUAAGUCAGUAACAACUAAAUAUUAUAAAAAUAAACAAAAAUAAACAUCAAACAAAUGCCAUACUCGGCAACGGUGCCAUAACUUGAUUGGUUGUUUAACAUCACAGCAAUAAUGUGCAAGCGUACACUAUCGAUGCAAGUAUAGUAGAUAGAUAUUAAUCUGCCGGAUAUCAAUCCCAUGAGGAUGGUUGUCUUUUCUCUAUCAAUGUCAAUGCAAUAAAUAGAUAGGAAUGAGAUAAGUUGUGAGUGUAUUUGUUGAAGCAAUAACUUGAAAACAAUAAGAUAAAAUAUGAUACUGAUAAACUGGGAUCCCCAACGUGAA